rnacentral:lncRNA from 1 species
AGUUUUGAUGCUAUAUCAAUCAAGGUCCACUCAGGAAAACAGAGAUGGCACCAGUUAUCUUAAGAAAAAUAAUUUAACAUGGAGAAUUGAUUAAACAGAUAUUAGAGGACUAAAAAGGUCACAAUUACAGGAGAGCAGGAAGGGAGAAAAGCUGACAGUAGAGAGUUCAUGAAAUGAAAAGCAUCCUCAAUAUCAUUCCCGUGAAGACAGCAACAGGGAAUUGG